UACGAAGGGGGCUAGCGUUGUUCGGAAUUACAGGGCGUAAAGCGCACGUAGGCGGAUAUUUAAGUCAGGGGUGAAAUCCCGGGGCUCAACCCCGGAACUGCCUUUGAUACUGGGUAUCUCGAGUCCGAGAGAGGUGAGUGGAAUUCCGAGUGUAGAGGUGAAAUUCGUAGAUAUUCGGAGGAACACCAGUGGCGAAGGCGGCUCACUGGCUCGGUACUGACGCUGAGGUGCGAAAGCGUGGGGAGCAAACAGG
rnacentral:rRNA from 1 species